rnacentral:rRNA from 1 species
AUUGAACGCUGGCGGCAUGCUUUACACAUGCAAGUCGAACGGUAACAGGCCGCAAGGUGCUGACGAGUGGCGAACGGGUGAGUAAUGCAUCGGAACGUGCCCAGUCGUGGGGGAUAACUACUCGAAAGAGUAGCUAAUACCGCAUACGAUCUAUGGAGGAAGCCGGGGGACGGAAGGGCUCCCCGCGAUUGGGCCGCCCGAUGUCAGAUUAGGUAGUUGGUGGGGUAAAGGCUCACCAAGCCAACGAUCUGUAGCUGGUCUGAGAGGACGACCAGCCACACUGGGACUGAGACACGGCCCAGACUCCUACGGGAGGCAGCAGUGGGGAAUUUUGGACAAUGGGCGCAAGCCUGAUCCAGCAAUGCCGCGUGCAGGAAGAAGGCCUUCGGGUUGUAAACUGCUUUUGUACGGAACGAAACGGCUCUGGUUAAUACCCGGGGCUAAUGACGGUACCGUAAGAAUAAGCACCGGCUAACUACGUG